AGAAGAGAAAUUUGGUAGGGAGAGAAGGAAAAACAAGGUGGAAAGAAGGAAAGUCCCAUGACGUCCAUUGAAAGCACAAUCAGACCUUGUUUAUGUGGCGUGGACUCCAGGCUUUCUCUUCAAAUGCACGCGAGUAAAGAAAAUACCUUGAGAGCCUAAUAAUAGUGCCCUGAAACCUGAGAUCCAACUCUCAUCUUUCCAAUUCUUGGGAACAUGCUUAAUAAGAACGUGUUACAGUGAGGUUUGGAUGAAGAAAGGACUGCACAAAGAAUGAGGUAGAUUGUAAACUUCAUGAGCCCAGGACCAUACUUCUUUUCUUUUUUAACUUGAAGGAUUCCAGAGUCUAACCUGGUGUCUAGUUUCUCAUCAGCGCUGAACAUGUACUCUUUGAAUGCUUGCGAUCAGGUAGGCCUCAUCCUGGCCAUUAAGCUACAUCCCCAGGAUCUUUUCAUUUCAUUUUGAGACAGGGUCUUGCUCUGUGGCCUGAAACAUGUGAUCCUCCGGCCUCAGCCUUCUGUGAAUCUGACAUUUCAGAUGGAGCGCCUUCCCUCUAGGACCUCAGUGCACCUUACAAAUGGCAUGCGUCAUCAAAGCCCUUCCAGAGAGGAGUGUACAGGCAUACAGUGGUAGUGACGACCCGUUCCCUGUGACGAAGCUGCUUGCAGGACAGUUCACUAUCCAGAAAGAAGAUACAGAAAAGAUUUUAUGUUUAACGUAGUAUUGUAUUGGCCCUAACUUCAAAGGCAAUAACUUUAGACUCAUUGGAGGAAUUUUUUAAUUUGGGUGGAAAGGUGAGACACCCUAUUUUGGAUUAACUGAGGAUUCCUUCAGGAGAAAAGCAAGUAUCUUGAAGAGUAAAGAAUAGUAUUGAAGAUAAGUUCCAAUCAUCAGCUACUGAGAGUUGAAUUUGAAUAGAGAAUGGGGUCCUAAAAUCUAUUUAUUUUCCCUUCUAAUAUGAACAUAUUACAAGAUGUGGACACAGUUGAAUGACACAGGAGAUGGGAUAAAAUAUUUGGAGACAUGACUGGACAUUAUUAUAGUAUUUUAAGAAUGGUUGGAUCUUUCUAUGAUUUACAUGGGAUUUAAAAAAUUUGUUAAGUACCCAGAGAAAAAAUGUAAUUAAAAUGUUGUGAAA